UACGGAGGAUGCGAGCGUUAUCCGGAUUUAUUGGGUUUAAAGGGUGCGUAGGCGGAAUAUCAAGUCAGCGGUAAAAAUUCGGGGCUCAACCCCGUCGUGCCGUUGAAACUGAUGUUCUUGAGUGGGCGAGAAGUAUGCGGAAUGCGUGGUGUAGCGGUGAAAUGCAUAGAUAUCACGCAGAACUCCGAUUGCGAAGGCAGCUUACUAAGCCAUAACUGACACUGAAGCACGAAAGCGUGGGGAUCAAACAGG
rnacentral:rRNA from 1 species